UGUGACCUUAAUUGCCGACAAACAGUGUUUGCAGAUGGUGCUGGUUUAUUUUCAUUUUGAAGGGAUUUCCCACUUUGAUUUGAUGUAAAGGAGUAAGAAGUUGGAAUAUGUAUUGGCAACUUGCAAUUCUCGGCUUCACGGUUGCAGCAGCUUUGUGUACGUACUAUAUUACGAGUCAAGCAGAAAAUGUACCCCAACAAAACCAACCCAAACCAAAGGAGCGUAAAAAGACUCAAGAAAGACGUCAUACUAAACUGUUAAAAGCAAGCAAACCCGGUGAUCAAUGCUUCUGGUGCACUAAUGCGUUAUCAGUGGAAGAUUGGAAUAUUUUACGUUGUCGACAUGCCUUGCAUAAGGAUUGCUAUAAAGAUUUUAUACGAAUGGAUACAAAGUGCCUAAUUUGUCAGUCGACUGAUCCCUGUGUUAUUUGUUUUAAUAAUGACAAACCACUAACGGAAGAGAAUGCAACAUAUCUAAGCUGUUGCCACGCAUUACACACAGACUGUUUAGCUAAAUACGUGGAAAACGGCUUUGAGAUUUGUCCGUUGUGCCGCAAGACAAUCUAGUUCAACUUUAUUUAUAGUUGCCCUUUUUUAUUUUUCGUUUUACAAAAUGGAAAUGCCUAAUAAAAUGCGUCAAAAACGGGA